rnacentral:rRNA from 1 species
CCUACGGGAGGCAGCAGUGAGGAAUAUUGGUCAAUGGCCGGAAGGCUGAACCAGCCAAGUCGCGUGAGGGACGAAGGUGCCAAGGAUUGUAAACCUCUUUUGUCAGGGAGCAAAAUCACCCACGUGUGGCUGAUGGAGGGUACUUGAAGAAAAAGCAUCGGCUAACUCCGUGCCAGCAGCCGCGGUAAUACGGAGGAUGCGAGCGUUAUCCGGAUUUAUUGGGUUUAAAGGGUGCGUAGGCGGGUUAUUAAGUCAGCGGUAAAAGCCCGGGGCUCAACCCCAUCGAGCCGUUGAAACUGACGAUCUUGAGAGGGCGAGAGGUAUGCGGAAUGCGCAGUGUAGCGGUGAAAUGCUUAGAUAUUGCGCAGAACUCCGAUUGCGAAGGCAGCAUACCGGCGGCGGACUGACGCUGAAGCACGAAAGCGUGGGUAUCGAACAGGAUUAGAUACCCCAGUAGUC